rnacentral:lncRNA from 1 species
CUGGUUUCAUCGAAUUUGGACCUACGGGUAAAAAGUUGUGGCUAUUCUAAGUUUAGGGACUAAUAUGCUAAUUAUAGGGACUAAACAGUGAAGAAAACUAUCACCAACGAGUCCCUAGCCAGGUGGCGCACUGUGAGAGGCCAGAGAGUGUUCACUUCGGUAGCUAUACGGUGAACAUCCACUGAAUAAUAAAAACAACUACCGCGGCUAAAUAAAAAAAACCAGAGACCGGUUUUCACUAAAACCGCAUGGUUUAAUAAAACCUUGGUUAACCGAUUUAAACAAAAAACAAACAAAACAAGGGGAAGCUCACAGCGAGCGGCAGUGUCGGCGUCGGUGACGUGCAGGGGACAGCGGCGCGGCAUUGGGCAGCGACGGGGUGACGGCCUGCGAUGGUCCUCGGCAGCGGGAAAGAAGACGAAUGGGGCCGGCGCGUCGGGGGCUGUCCGGUGGUGGAGGCGGCGCGCGUUGGGGUGAUAGAGACGGAGCGAAGGAAGGGUGGCGCUCCGGCGAACUCCGGCGGUUCGGACAUCGUCCGUGCGAUGGCUCCGGUGUCCCCUAGACCACAAAAAGUUGUCAACAAGGUGUGCGCGGAGCAGGGGAACAAGUUGACAGAGUUUGGGGCCUCAUAGUGGCUUACGGCCGACGAGCUUCUCCGGCGAAGUAGCUCCAGCCAGCAAGACCCAAGCGGCAACUGCGGGCGGUAGGAGCGUCGAGAGGACGAGCAAGUGGGCAGGAUGGAGAGAGGGGGCUCCGAGGCUUUUAUAGGUGCGGAGAGGGGUGCUCAGGGUGGCGGGAUUAGCCUUAUCCCCGAAGGCGAGGUGCGGUGGUUGCGCGUGGGCGGCGGGCUCGUGCUCUAUCCCGAGCGGGAGAGACGGGAGGUUGGGGAUGGGGGUGGGGCCCUCCUGGCAGCGACAGCUGCAUGCGAGCGAGAGAGAGAGGCGGGUCAGGCAAGCGAGCGGUGGCCUUCGGGCGUUGGGAGCAGGCCACGGGCCGAAGUGCAUGGCUGGCUAGGCCUGCGCGCGGGUGUGCGUGUGUUGUUUUUUGUCACAAAAACUUUCCAAGGCCAAACGAAAUCAAACAAAAUCCUAAAAAAAUACCACGAUAAUUUCUAAAAUUAUCUCUGAAUAUCUGUAACACAGUGAACAUUUAAUCAAGCAUAGAAGAAUUUGAAAAUAUUUUCCUAAUGCAUUUAAUGCACUUUUUGCAAAUUGAAUAAAUACCAAAUAAGUUCUAAAAACUCCAAAUAAUAUUCAAAUGAAAUUCCCACCUCUUUUAUAUUUUGAGGAAGUCAUCUUAUCCCCUCUCCUUCAGUUUUCUUGAGUGGAAAAUAAUAUUUGAACAUUCGAGAAAACUCCAAAAUACCAUAAAUCAUGAGAUGCAAAUGGUUUCAAAUAUUAUUUUAAAUAAUCAUCUAUUGGUUUCAUAAUCCAUUUCCAUUUUCUUUCUGAUAAAUGAAGGAGUCAUAUUUCCUUCUCUCUUUAUUUUAUUUGAAUGAAUGGAAAUGUUUUGAAACUCAAAACGGAAAACUUUACAAAAAUGAACCAAAUGAAAUUCAAAAGUGCUCCUCAUCACUUCCCACUCUAUUUCAUAUAUUCUGAAGAAGUCCUAUUAUCUUAUCUCAUGAAAAUCCUUGAGUGGCAUAGAGUUUCUGAGUUGGACUAUUGUUCAAAUGGAAUUCAAAUCAACUUCAAAACCCCUUUUCAUUUCGUUAAAUGGAUGAAGUCAUAUUAUCUUCACUCUAGGGUUUUGGGAUGAAUGAAUUUUAAUUCAUGGAGAUCAAAAUGUGAGAUGAAGGUUUUGGGAAAUUCCUUUUAUUCCCUCUCAUUCAACUUUCAAAAAGUCUUAAAUUUUCACUCAAUUUCACACAAUCAAUCACACAACAAUCAAACAAACAAUCAUAAUAAUUUAUUUAAUAUAACAUUCCAAAAUUUAGAAUUUUGGGAUGUUACAAACUACCACCCUUAAAAUGAAUCUCGUCCUCGAGAUUCGGAGAGGCUAGAAAGAAGGUUAGGUUUGGGGGGGGUCUCCUUGAAAAUCCAUUCAUCAACACAAGGUAUGGUGUGCUACUACCCUUAGAAGCAUGGUUAUGCUUCCAACAAAACUCAUGUACUCUGCCCUUUGGGUUGACGGUGUCGGUCCUCUCAUACUCCCUGGAGUAACUCUUUCUUUGAGGCCCUUUCGAUAGGGCAUAACCUUUUCCUCAAAAUCUUGAGUCCUUGCAUCAAAGAUGAUCCUUUCGAGAUUGGGUCUUCUUAGCUGUCAGGUCUGUCGCCAAUGCUAAACAACUAUCGAAAAUCUCAUGGUGGUCGACAAUUAUUGGUUCUCCUGCAGAAAAUGGGUUUGGGUUGAACCUCACCGCAUAACCUACGUUUGGCAACAGGUGCCUGUACAGGGUUUCCAUCAUCCUGCCAUUCUAAGUCUUUUGGCUUGUUGUGUCGACACUCUUAUAGGGUUUCAAGUCUCUCUGAUUUUCCCAUCAACAUAUGAUAGCUCAUGAUAGAAGUCUUCAGUAUGGGGGCCAAUCCAUCCCGUACUUGAAUCAUUACCACAUACACAGAUAGUGAAUCACGUAUUCUAACACUUGGGCAUCCUCACAAGCAUUGCAGAACUUCUCUUCUCCACGAACUGGGUUCGGGUAAAUCCAUUUGUUCUGCAAGCCAAACAAAAUCUCUAUCACUUCUUCACAACUCUCGGGUUUACGUAACCUCCUAUGGAACAUCUGCUGAUGAAAUCACAGCUUCCUUCAGAAUUCUUUUCUUCAACAAGAUUGCGCUUGUUUCCUUAUCAAAUCCUGGGUCCUGUGGGUUAUGGCCCACUUCAACACUUGUAUAUCUUUAACUCAUCCUUGGAGUUACUAUCAUUCCAUAUUCCAACAUUAUAUCUCCUUUAAAUCCAAUAGUACUUCAUUCCUUCAUAUUCUUGGGGUAACCAUCAUAACUAAAACAAAACUCCAACUUUAUGGAAUACAUUUUCCUUUCUAAUGGUCUAGUGUUCACACACACAAGUAUCGCCAAAAAAAUGCACUGGUUCAUCCAUAAUUCUCUUCAUAUCAAAUCCUUUAUUACAUCCUUAACCACUACUCAAAAUUCAAAUUUCACAAGUACUCUAUUACAGAAGCUGCCAUCCACAAGUUUGGUAUGGUCAAGCAUUACUUCCAUCUUUAUUCAUUUGCCCUUCUUGAAGAUACUACAGUCCCACUAGAAUUGUGCGAUGUGAUCCUUCAAAUCAUCGAUGUUUUGCUUCAUCUUGGUGGCCAUGAGUUUCAUCUCCAUCAUCUCUGCAUGCACUUCCCUCAGGUAUUCCUGAGUGUGAUGGAGUCUUGCUUCUAGUAUUUCUCCAAUCUGAUGUAUGGCUUCCAUAGCAGCUUCACGAACAGAGUCGAAGAAUGUUGCUCGUGGUACUCGAGAAAUGAAAAAGUAUUGCCCCAUAGUCUUUGGGCAAACUCCCUUCACACGGUGGAGGUGUACCUCCAUGUACCAAAGUUCAACUCCAUUCUCCAUGAAAGGAUAACCCUUGUAGACUGCAUCUCCUUCAAGAUGAAUAUGCUUCAUCAUGUCCUUCAGAAUUUUUGGGUAAUCCUGAUCACUAGUCAGGGUCAUGAUCCUUUCCAGGCCCUUGAGAAAAGACUCGUAAAAGGUUGUCAUCUGCAGUCAUAAGAUAGAAGGGGUACUCAGGAUACUGUAUGUAUUUCCUUUGGUGAAAUGUGGUUAUUUUUCUGGGAAAGGUUUGGGGUCAGCUUGUCCAUGGGUUCAAGGUUUUAGUCUGGGUGAGAUAGCGAGAGAGGUACUCACAAUCAACAAACAACUCAUGACACCUCAUAUGAGAUUCCAACCACAUCAACUUUUAUUGCUUCAUGAACCAUUACAAUUUCCAUUUCAUAACUCAACUCAACACCCCCAAAAAUAAAACUGUAUUCCACAUUUAUUACAUGCUUUAUUCCAAUAUCAAGACCUCAACUACUCAGCUCAAGUUUUCCUCGGAUCUGAACAUUCUCUGACAAAAUGUCCUACUCCUUUGUAGCGUAAACAAAUGGCGUCAGACAAAUCCAGGGGCUUCUUGGUGGUUAUCUUGGCUCCUUGGGUCCUUGGCUUCCUUGCUGGGCAUUUGCUAGCCUAAUGACCUAGAUCCUUGCACCUGUAACAAGUGAUUUGACUCAGGUCCUUUUCUGCAGAAAUUGGGUUAUUCUGGGGAUACAUGCUCUUUCUCUUCCUCAACUUCUUCGUUCCGAUCAAUUCUUCUAUGUCAUGUGGAUCAAACUCCACUUCUUCUAUUGGGAAGUCUCCCAGAUACUCUUGGUUUUCCUUCAUGCAAUAUUGUGAAAAUGUCCUUCUUCUCCACAUGAAUAGCAAGCAUUGGAGUAAAAUCGGUUUAGGCUUUCUCCAUCAGGGUCGUCAACAUCUUCUUUCAUCACCGGUUUUCUUAAACUUUCCCUGAGGGCUUCUUUCACUGCUUCCUUCUGCUGCUUGGUAAUUUCUUGUACCUUGGGAUAAAUAUGACACUGGGCAGGGUAGUGCGUAGUUCCUUCACACAAGAAACAAGUAACCUUCAUUGUUGGACAUUCUUCAGCUUGGUUAUUUCCUUCAUAAUGAGGGCAUCCAUCCUUGUGUUCUUCAUGGGUAUGUCCUAUCUCACCACAAAUCUUGCAUGCACAAGGUUUCUUAAUUUUAUUGCCAUAGGGCUUCUGAAUGAGACGAGACCUCAGUAGAGUCAUCUUGAAUUCCUCCCAAGUUUUUGCUCCGUUACAUCCUUGUAUGGCCUGAUGCAUUUUCCACCAGGUUGCAGCACUUUUUGUAAAGUACUGAAGAGCGUAUUGAACCUCAUACUUCCUUGCAACCAAAUUGCUCCUGAAGUGAUUCUCCAUGCUUUGAAUCCAUAGCUCUGCCUCCAACUGAGUGAUCGGUUCAGAGAAUGCAAGUCCAUCUUCAUUCAUCAUCUAUUGGGUCCAAGGGUUUCGGGAUGAGACACGAGAGAUAGAGAGAUACACACAAUACACACAAUAUAGUUUUGAAAAUAAGUUUCAUUUGUGGUAGUCAGAAAAAACAUCAAACAAUGAUAGCUCCCAAACAUCGCAUCUAACCUAAGUAUACAACAGGGGUUUGGUCCUCUAAAGUUCAUAUAAAUCUUGAAAUUCUUCAAUUCUUCGGAGGCUUCGACUAUUGUAGCUUCAACUCUUCUAGUGUAUGGUGAAGUUUGAUAUCUUGUCGUUCUCGGAGUGGUCUCAUCAGUUGAUCCUCCGUGUGGUCAAAGGGAAAAGGGGUAUUGUCUGACUAUUUGGGGUAAAAGGAAAGAUUUGAUAAAGCUCGGAAAAGAAGAGAGGUAAAGGAUCUUUUUGAAAAUUAAGUUUUAGAGAAAUCCUUUCCUAUGGGCUUUCCAGUUUCUAGGGUCACGUCCUACAGUCAACAUGUGCUCUGAUACCAUCUGAGUAGCGACCCGAUCUCAAACGGUCAAGCCUCUGUGUAUCCGUGCCAUCCCUGGAUCGGUAUGCUGGCACACAUAGUACAUCAACGUAUAUAUCAAAGUGCAAUCACAUGUAUAAAUAACGUAAAACUGAUUUAUACCUCAUAAGUCUCAGCGGAAACAAACAUAAGGGUGUGGAGUCCAUCAACGCCAGCGGCAAGUUGAGUGUAGACCGUAACCCUACAACGUAACUCUUACUCGUCGUAGAAAAUUCCUGCAACAUAAGACGUUGCAACCCUGUAGGUCAGUACAUUGAAUGUACUAGCAAGUCACAUCAUAAGAAUAAUGAACCUAUUUGUACAUGCAGUUUGGCUGGUGGAAAGCUCUAAGUUUAGUUUUUUGCAUAAAGCUAGUUUUUUCCCUAGAAUAAAAGAUAUUAUUCCACCACUACUGUAUAGCAUAGGAUGAGUUGGUAAACCCAACUCAAUCCAUUCCCAAAGUUUCAUUUAAAACCCAACUGUUUAAUUAAAAGUGAUGAGAUCUCCCAGCAUUUCCACUACUAGAUGCUCAAGUUGUCCGUAACCGGGGACACGGCUAAUCGAUUAGGUUUUAACACUCUGCAGAGGUUUGCGCACUUUUCCCCACAAGACUUGAUCGCCUCCCUUGAAGUUCUCACACUGCCUGGCGUUUGAGAACAGGAUGACCAAGACAUAGUCUUUCGAAAAUGUUCCCCCUUAACCCACGGAUAGGCCGGUACACCUACAUCAUUCUACAUCUGCUAGCCCAUCCCGGAAGGGGUCACACUAACUACUCAACUAAGCCAGAGCCCAUAUUGACUUGUGGCUGCACACGUAAGCUUAUAGACAUGAGAAUACGAUUGAUCUCUUUGAGCCUGGCGGGACGGACCACUAGUUUCGCACCACCAUGGAUUUCCCAUGCAUGCUCCCACUGUACUUCGCCACCAUUCAAACCAAACCUCCGCCCAGGUAGUUCAUUAAGUUAUCUUGGUGCUACUUACUACUUUGUCACUCAUCUCUCACAAUGAACACUUCCCAAUCCACGUCUACAUUGGCGAGGCAAAAUUAAACUUACGCGGUGGUGACGAAGGUAUAUGGUUCAAACCUACCUCAAUGAACUACUAGGUAACGACAUAGCCAUCGGGCAACAAUAAAUCCUACCAUGCAAUCCUACCACAAAAGGACUAAGUGCAUAAUAUAAAAACAUAGGUAAUUGGAAGAAUGGUCAAAUGUGAACUUGCCUGGUAAUAGUUGAUGAAGAUUAUAUCGCUCUCAGAAAUUUACUUAAUAGAGCUAUUCGUCACUCUCCGAUGAAAAUCUAUAAGGUCAAACAUUGCAUUCACAUAAGCAAUCAUUUCGGAGAACCAAAUAACAUGCAACAUGAAAAUACUCGGAAAAUCCAAAUGAACACACAACACACUUAACAAUCAAAAAAAAUCCUAAGUGCAAAACAACAUAGGGCAUGGGUGCAAAAGAAAAAUUUGUGACGUGGACCACAGUGCAUACUAGGCAUACGAAUAAAACUACAAUGGACAGAUCCUAAUGUGUGAAAAAAAUAUCGUGAGAUAGGUCCAAGUGAUAGGGUUUGGCAACGGUGACACGGUGCAAAAAGAAUCACAUCAAUCGGAGCUACGGUUUAGGAGAUAUGGCCAUUUGAAGUUCGAAUUCAAAUCUGAAUAAAGUUCAAUUUUGAAUUUGGAAAAAGUUUACAAACACAAUGCUACUGGAUAGAUCUAAUCAAUACGAAGAAUUUGCUGCUGGUUUCAUCGAAUUUGGACCUACGGGUAAAAAGUUGUGGCUAUUCUAAGUUUAGGGACUAAUAUGCUAAUUAUAGGGACUAAACAGUGAAGAAAACUAUCACCAACAAGUCCCUGGCCAGGUGGCGCACUGUGAGAGGCCAGAGAGUGUUCACUUCGGUAGCUAUACGGUGAACGGCCACUGAAUAAUAAAAACAACUACCGCGGCUAAAUAAAAAA